rnacentral:ncRNA from 2 species
GAAAAGCAUAAUAGAGAAGCUGGUUAAAUGCCAGCACGGUCCCGCCACUGUAUGGUCGAGCGAGUCUAAAUUAAGUCACUGGGAAACUGGGAAGGCUAGAUAAGCGAUGACGCCGAGUCAGGAGAACUGCCUAUUCAA